rnacentral:rRNA from 1 species
AUUGAACGCUGGCGGAAUGCUUUACACAUGCAAGUCGAACGGCAGCACGGGGCAACCUGGUGGCGAGUGGCGAACGGGUGAGUAAUACAUCGGAACGUGCCCAAUCGUGGGGGAUAACGUAGCGAAAGUUACGCUAAUACCGCAUACGAUCUACGGAUGAAAGCGGGGGAUCGCAAGACCUCGCGCGAGUGGAGCGGCCGAUGUCAGAUUAGGUAGUUGGUGGGGUAAAGGCUCACCAAGCCAACGAUCUGUAGCUGGUCUGAGAGGACGACCAGCCACACUGGAACUGAGACACGGUCCAGACUCCUACGGGAGGCAGCAGUGGGGAAUUUUGGACAAUGGGCGCAAGCCUGAUCCAGCCAUUCCGCGUGCAGGAUGAAGGCCUUCGGUUGUAACUAGCUUUGUACGGUAACGAAACGGACGAGCUCUAAUACAGUUGCUAAGGACAGUACCUUCUACGAAUAAGACCUCGGCUAACUACGUAGCCAGCAGCC